rnacentral:rRNA from 2 species
GGGUUGUGAGGUUAAGCGACUAAGCGUACACGGUGGAUGCCCUGGCAGUCAGAGGCGAUGAAGGGCGUGCUAAUCUGCGAUAAGCGCCGGUAAGGUGAUAUGAACCGUUAUAACCGGCGAUACCCGAAUGGGGAAACCCAGUGUGACUCGUCACACUAUCAUUAACUGAAUCCAUAGGUUAAUGAGGCGAACCGGGGGAACUGAAACAUCUAAGUACCCCGAGGAAAAGAAAUCAACCGAGAUUCCCCCAGUAGCGGCGAGCGAACGGGGAGGAGCCCAGAGCCUGAAUCAGCAUGUGUGUUAGUGGAAGCGUCUGGAAAGGCGCGCGAUACAGGGUGACAGCCCCGUACACAAAAGCGCAUGUGCUGUGAGCUCGAUGAGUAGGGCGGGACACGUGGUAUCCUGUCUGAAUAUGGGGGGACCAUCCUCCAAGGCUAAAUACUCCUGACUGACCGAUAGUGAACCAGUACCGUGAGGGAAAGGCGAAAAGAACCCCGGCGAGGGGAGUGAAAAAGAACCUGAAACCGUGUACGUACAAGCAGUGGGAGCCCCACCACCAAAGCAUUUGCUGUACCGCGUUGACGGAGCGAAGCGACGUCAAACCGAUAAAACAGCAGUGUAAAGUGAGCCGCAGGGCGCUUUGCGCGACAGCGCAAAGGCAGGCGGUUUCGCGUAGCGAAAGCGAAUGCUUUGGGGUGGGGUGACUGCGUACCUUUUGUAUAAUGGGUCAGCGACUUAUAUUCUGUAGCAAGGUUAACCGAAUAGGGGAGCCGGAGGGAAACCGAGUCUUAAUUGGGCGUUAAGUUGCAGGGUAUAGACCCGAAACCCGGUGAUCUAGCCAUGGGCAGGUUGAAGGUUGGGUAACACUAACUGGAGGACCGAACCGACUAAUGUUGAAAAAUUAGCGGAUGACCUGUGGCUGGGGGUGAAAGGCCAAUCAAACCGGGAGAUAGCUGGUUCUCCCCGAAAGCUAUUUAGGUAGCGCCUCGUGAAUUCAUCUCCGGGGGUAGAGCACUGUUUCGGCUAGGGGGCCAUCCCGGCUUACCAACCCGAUGCAAACUGCGAAUACCGGAGAAUGUUAUCACGGGAGACACACGGCGGGUGCUAACGUCCGUCGUGAAGAGGGAAACAACCCAGACCGCCAGCUAAGGUCCCAAAGUCAUGGUUAAGUGGGAAACGAUGUGGGAAGGCCCAGACAGCCAGGAUGUUGGCUUAGAAGCAGCCAUCAUUUAAAGAAAGCGUAAUAGCUCACUGGUCGAGUCGGCCUGCGCGGAAGAUGUAACGGGGCUAAACCAUGCACCGAAGCUGCGGCAGCGACACUGUGUGUUGUUGGGUAGGGGAGCGUUCUGUAAGCCUGUGAAGGUGUGUCGUGAGGCAUGCUGGAGGUAUCAGAAGUGCGAAUGCUGACAUAAGUAACGAUAAAGCGGGUGAAAAGCCCGCUCGCCGGAAGACCAAGGGUUUCUGUCCAACGUUAAUCGGGGCAGGGUGAGUCGACCCCUAAGGCGAGGCCGAAAGGCGUAGUCGAUGGGAAACGGGUUAAUAUUCCCGUACUUGGUGUUACUGCGAAGGGGGGACGGAGAAGGCUAUGUUGGCCGGGCGACGGUUGUCCCGGUUUAAGCGUGUAGGUGUGUGUUCCAGGUAAAUCCGGUUCACUUUAACACUGAGGCGUGACGACGAGGCACUACGGUGCUGAAGCAACAAAUGCCCUGCUUCCAGGAAAAGCCUCUAAGCAUCAGGUAACAUCAAAUCGUACCCCAAACCGACACAGGUGGUCAGGUAGAGAAUACCAAGGCGCUUGAGAGAACUCGGGUGAAGGAACUAGGCAAAAUGGUGCCGUAACUUCGGGAGAAGGCACGCUGACACGUAGGUGAAGUGAUUUACUCAUGGAGCUGAAGUCAGUCGAAGAUACCAGCUGGCUGCAACUGUUUAUUAAAAACACAGCACUGUGCAAACACGAAAGUGGACGUAUACGGUGUGACGCCUGCCCGGUGCCGGAAGGUUAAUUGAUGGGGUCAGCGCAAGCGAAGCUCCUGAUCGAAGCCCCGGUAAACGGCGGCCGUAACUAUAACGGUCCUAAGGUAGCGAAAUUCCUUGUCGGGUAAGUUCCGACCUGCACGAAUGGCGUAAUGAUGGCCAGGCUGUCUCCACCCGAGACUCAGUGAAAUUGAACUCGCUGUGAAGAUGCAGUGUACCCGCGGCAAGACGGAAAGACCCCGUGAACCUUUACUAUAGCUUGACACUGAACAUUGAGCCUUGAUGUGUAGGAUAGGUGGGAGGCUUUGAAGUGUGGACGCCAGUCUGCAUGGAGCCGACCUUGAAAUACCACCCUUUAAUGUUUGAUGUUCUAACGUGGACCCGUUACCCGGGUUGCGGACAGUGUCUGGUGGGUAGUUUGACUGGGGCGGUCUCCUCCUAAAGAGUAACGGAGGAGCACGAAGGUUGGCUAAUCCUGGUCGGACAUCAGGAGGUUAGUGCAAUGGCAUAAGCCAGCUUGACUGCGAGCGUGACGGCGCGAGCAGGUGCGAAAGCAGGUCAUAGUGAUCCGGUGGUUCUGAAUGGAAGGGCCAUCGCUCAACGGAUAAAAGGUACUCCGGGGAUAACAGGCUGAUACCGCCCAAGAGUUCAUAUCGACGGCGGUGUUUGGCACCUCGAUGUCGGCUCAUCACAUCCUGGGGCUGAAGUAGGUCCCAAGGGUAUGGCUGUUCGCCAUUUAAAGUGGUACGCGAGCUGGGUUUAGAACGUCGUGAGACAGUUCGGUCCCUAUCUGCCGUGGGCGCUGGAGAACUGAGGGGGGCUGCUCCUAGUACGAGAGGACCGGAGUGGACGCAUCACUGGUGUUCGGGUUGUCAUGCCAAUGGCACUGCCCGGUAGCUAAAUGCGGAAGAGAUAAGUGCUGAAAGCAUCUAAGCACGAAACUUGCCCCGAGAUGAGUUCUCCCUGAGACUUUAGGUCUCCUGAAGGAACGUUGAAGACGACGACGUUGAUAGGCCGGGUGUGUAAGCGCAGCGAUGCGUUGAGCUAACCGGUACUAAUGAACCGUGAGGCUUAACCUUACAACGCCGAAG